UUUUGCUCACUGCUGUUACCUUGGUGUGCGUUGUUGAAUUUGUAGUUGUUUUAUUCAGCAGCAGCUAAUCUUUUGUGUUUCUUAGCAGUAGACUUCUUAGGGCUGGUUAAAGAGAGUGUUGAUGUUACCGAGCAGAAUUCCUGUAUUGUUUUUUGGUGUAUGUCAUUGUUUGCUUAGGCAGUGGUUGCCAUGGGAUGAAUCACUCAGAAGCCUUAUGACAUCCGUGUGCUUAUUUGGGUGGAUGCAUGUCAUCACACAUGUGUGCAGCUACCCAAGAGUCCAGGUUCCCCAUUUGCCGGGUGGGUUUCAGGCAUAGAACUCCAGGCACCAGGCUUUACCCUCAGCCAUCUCCCUGGCCCCCAAUAUAAUUUGUAAGCUUUUACAAAAUCAAUACUUACCUAAUAUCGUGUCAUCACCUGAAGAAUGAAGAAAUAAAAUUAGAUGCCAGUGUAUACUACUAAUUCAAUAGGAUUGGAAAUAGUCCUUUCCGGCAGCACCACCAUUUUGACCAUUUUGUCAGUGGUAAACAGUAAGGGUGCUUCCAAGCUCAGGUGUUUGAAAGAAUAUUGAGAAUCAGAUUGAGGUUUAGAUGGCGUGUAACUUCACACGAGUACAGAUGCCUAUUUCAUAUUGCUUUUAAGGGCUAACAGCGGUUCUCUAAACACUUAGAGGUGGUACUGUUACUGAAGAGCAGGCUGUCUCAGUUUACGACACCUGUGGAUGAUCGGCUGGCCACUGUAGCUCUCCCUGCUUAUUGUGGGCCUGGUUUUGAACAGUGGGCCAAACUUUCAGUCUGAUCCAAUCUGACUUUCCACAGGAUGGCAGUUGGCAUCUUUCAAGGUACUGGUCGUGUCUCUCCAGUAAGCUUUGUUCCUUGUACUAAUAUUGCUAUGCCAAGUCGCUAUAAAUCUCGAAUUCAGAAGGAUUUUUUUUUUUAAACUAUGAAUUCUUUUUGCCUGCUGAGAGGAGGAAUUGCCUUCUGUGUAUGUCAGUGUCUUAGUUAAGGUUUCUUUCACUGCAAUAAAACACCAUCGCCAAAAGCAAUUUGGGGAAGAAAGACUUUAUUUCCACUUACAUCUGUCAGGUCACACACUCCAUUACUGAGGGAAAUGAGAGCAGGGGCUGAAGCACAGGCCAAGGAAGGAUGCUGUGCAUUGGCUUGUAUAGCACUCAGAGCCACCAUCCCAGGAUGACACCUGUCACAGUGAGCUGGGCCCGCCCACAUCAAUCACCACUUAAGAAAACACCCCAUGUGGUGGGGAUAUUUUCUCCAUUGAAGUUUCCUUUUUCCCAAAUGACUCUAGCUUGUGUUGCGUUGGCAUAAAACUAGCCACACACUUGGUUUAUUAUUUUACUUAAGUUGUUCUUGUGUUAUGUCGUGCUAGCUCAAGGAAUUCUAGAAGACCUAGUCCUGUGGACAACCUACUUCUGUAAUUUUUUUGAACGUUAAAUUAGGUUAAUCCUGAUGCCUUUUUAAAACUAUAGUCAUUCAUAUUCGUUACAUACAUACAUACAAAUUAAUGUGAGGCAGUGAUAUUCCAUACAUACCUAUGCUAAACUGUGUGUGUACUCCAUGUCCCUUACUCCCACACAUGAGAUAAAAUAUACAGUUUUUUACUUUUCUGUGUCUAGCAAUGUCCUUUUCAGAAACUUACAUUAUUUCAUUGUUUGUGGUGUAUACAUACCAUGCUUAUGUUUUUCAGUCCGAAUCAUCUUUUGACAGGCAUAUAGGCUGAUUCUUGGCUGUUGUGAAUAGUAUCACAGUAAACAAAGCUACACAGGGCUGUAGUGAUUGGAAAAAGGAAGACAAAAGUUGAGUGAUAUCAAAUCCAGAGAUUAAAUAGAUGUGAGUGAUUGGCACUGUUGACAAAAUACUGAUAUUACAAAACAACGCUGCUGCAGCAGUGGUGGGCUCAGUAGAGAUUGGAAAAAUUUAUUUUUCUAGCAUCCCUUAGUAAAUUGGAGAAAACUAUGGGCAAGGAGGAGUUGAGGAAGAUGCAUAGACACAGUGAUGGGAGUCUGCACCCCAGGAGCAGCUGCUGUACAGAGGCCUGAGUGAUGGCGCUCCUGCCCUGCUGCUCCUCCUGCCUUCUUACUGGGACUGUGUGAGUCAGAUGCACAUGGCUAACAGUGUGUAUCCACUCAAGUCUUUGUUUCCAGUGCAGAGGUCAACUGUGAUGGUCUGAUGGGGUUGUGGGGAGCCUUGCAUGCUGGCUCCUGCCCUCCACCCACUACUGCACAGUCUCAGUGUGUUUGCACGUCGUGAAGCACCCUAUGUGGGAUGCUCUGGAAUGAGUGUAAUUACAGAAAAGGCUCCAUUUUUACUCGUGAUUUUGGAGAGCAGCGAUGAGCACCCUAACCUUGUGUCUAUCCGCUGUUUCAGUGUUGACAAAAAAUUCCAGUGCACACUUAAAUAAAAAGAAACAUACAGUUUUAGAACCUUAAGACUUUAGUGUGAAAAAAAUAGGAGUUAAUACUAUUUAGUGUUAGGCACAAAGUGUUACUCCUGUUAAAUUCUGCUAGGAAGACACAGUUGUGUACGAACAUUUUAAUAAAGUUCUUCAAACAAAACUGGCAAGUAAUAGACUAUGUAGUAUUCCAGUGAGGUCCAGAAAAAUGUUUAUUGGUUUGAGUUUUGUUUUGUUUUGUUUUGUUUUGUUUUGUUUUGUUUUUGUGGUUGUUUUGUAAUUUUGUGUUUUCCAUUUUGUUAAAACACACUACUGAUGCCUAGAAAGAACAGUGCAUUUAACAAAACAAACAAACAAACAAACCACAUAGCUUUAGCGUUAGAGUGACUGCUUAGCUUUUUAACAUUUUUCUGCCUAACUCAGAAGCAGACACUUGGCUGUCCUGUGAGCCAGACAAGUCGCUGACCUGGCUCACUGUCCACAGCACAAGCCAAAUCUGUGAAGCAAAGGUGUCCACAUAAAGCGCACCGAGCCUUUGGUAGUGUAGGGGGCCUGGUUUGCAUAUAUAGGCGGGGCAUGAAGAUUGGCUGCUGGUGGGUCUUUUAUCUGGAGAUUGUAUUCAUUAGAGGGAUCAAGAAGUCAUCCUGAGCCAGGCAUGGUGGCGCACUUGUUUAAUCCCAGCACUUGGGAGGCAGAGGCAGGUGGAUCUGAGUUCGAGGCCAGACUGGUCUACAGAGUGAGUUCCAAGACAGCCAGGGCUACACGGAGAAACCCUGUCUCCGAAAAAACACC
ensembl:sense_intronic Gm43707 predicted gene 43707